UGGUGCAAGAUUUUUUUGCUGUGUUGAAAACAAUUCGUGGCCUUCCGUUGUUUUUUGCUCUUUGUCAGACUUACUGUAUUGAAUAUAUAUGUACUUUGUAAGACAACUUGCUUUCAAUACAUUAUUUAUGCUGAAACUUUAUUACUAUAUAUUAAGGUAACUUUGCUGUUACAGUCUUUGCCAAACUGAAAUUUGAACUUUUCUACUAUACAUUCAACUAAAACAUCUUGAAAGUUCUUUCUGUCUGAAUUGCUUUUUGUCUGAGACUUGUUGGUGAGACAGAGUUUGGGAUUCACUGCUGUUACAAAUAGUAAGGAGAAUUUAUUAAAAAAGAUAUAAUGCAAUAGAGAAACAACUGAUAACUUAUAAGGGGUAUACUAUACAUGGUAUAUAUCAAUGAAUCAACAUUAGUAAAUACACAGCGAAAAAAAAAGAAACACAUACAAUUGCAAGAUGGCCCCUAUAUGGUUUUUUGAACCUCAUGGAAAAUUGACCAUCAGGUCAAAAUACAGCUAUGGCAAUUUAACCCCCUUGUAUGGAAAAUUGAACAUUGGGGUAAAAUAUAGAUUUUGGCUUACAAAAAAUGUAUAUCUCUGAAAACAAAGCAUUUAGAGCAAAUCUGACAUGGGGUAAAAUUGUUUAACCAAAUAUUAUGAAACUUACACACCCUGAUAAUAUCAACUAAAUGCAGAUCAAGUACAAAUUUGGGUAGGUCACUUUUACUGUUCUGGAGUUAUUUCCCUUAUUAUAACAUUAUACCUAUGCAAGAGGGGGCAUCAUCUGUGUCCCAUGGAGAUAAAAAAAAACAAAAUUAUGAAAAUGGACAAAUCUGACAUUUUGAUAAACCAAAUAUUUAUAGUGAAUCUAGUGUUUUAUUUAGAGAUGUCUAAAAGGAUGGAACAUGAUGAUCCGGC
rnacentral:lncRNA from 1 species